rnacentral:lncRNA from 1 species
CUGGUUAGUUCAUAUUGUUGUCCACCUAUAGGGUUGCAGACCCCUUCAGCUCCUUGGGUGCUUUCUCUUUGCUGUAUAUUUUAAUAGUUCAAUAAUUACUUUAAUUUGCAAUUCAUUGCAGAGAGAAAUUCUGGCACAGCAUAAGGUGGGUGGUAAAUCACGUGGCAUAGCACAUUUUGACUCAUCUUUAUGCUGGACUCCCUUGGCUCUCUGAAGCAUCUCCACGGCAGGAGGUCAUGACCCUUGUAAUUAAGAAAUUCUUGAAGACAAUAUUCAGGAGAAAAUGUGAUUUGAGUCUGGAGACAAUUGUGUAUGUGUACUUUUCUUAA